rnacentral:rRNA from 1 species
GACGGAGGGUGCUAGCGUUGUUCGGAAUGACUGGGCGUAAAGGGCGCGUAGGCGGUUGAACAAGUCAGACGUGAAAGCCUUGGGCUUAACCCAAGAACUGCGUUUGAGACUGGUUGACUUGAGGACGAGAGAGGAAAGUAGAAUUCCGAGUGUAGAGGUGAAAUUCGCAGAUAUUCGGAGGAAUACCAGAGGCGAAGGCGUCUUUCUGGCUCGUUUCUGACGCUGAGGCGCGAAAGCGUGGGGAGCGAACAGG